rnacentral:rRNA from 1 species
CGAUGGUUCAUUCAAAUUUCUGCCCUAUCAAGUUUCGAUGGUAGGAUAGAGGCCUACCAUGCUUUUUACGGGUAACGGCGAAUUAGGGUUCGAUUCCGGAGAGGGAGCCUGAGAAACGGCUACCACAUCUAAGGAAGGCAGCAGGCGCGCAAAUUACCCAAUCCUGAUUCAGGGAGGUAGUGACAAUAAAUAACAAUCCAGGACUUCGGUCUUGGAAUUGGAAUGAGAACAAUUUAAAUCUCUUAUCGAGGAACAAUUGGAGGGCAAGUCUGGUGCCAGCAGCCGCGGUAAUUCCAGCUCCAAUAGCGUAUAUUAAAGUUGUUGCAGUUAAAUAGCUCGUAGUUGAAUCUUGGGGCUGGUUUGGCGGUCGCGUCUUUGACGUGUACUGUCGGCCGGUUCUUUUACUUGUGGGGAACGUAUGUGCCCUUUGCGGGGUGUGUACGGGAACCAUGGCUGUUACUUUGAAAAAAUUAGAGUGUUUAAAGCGGGCGUAAGCUUGUAUACAUUAGCAUGGAAUAAUAGA